GCCAGGUGUGGUGGCGAAUGCCUGUAAUCCCAGAGGUUUGGGAGGCUGAGGCAGGAGGAUCAUAAGUUCAAAACCGGCCUCAGCAACAGCAAGGUGCUUAGCAACUCAGUGAGACACUGUCUCUA
rnacentral:sRNA from 1 species